rnacentral:rRNA from 1 species
UAAGCGCACUGGAAAGUGCUCUUGGAUUAACCAGAAUGUAGUAUACACAAAACACUUCACUUACAUUGAAAAAACAUCUACAACCAGAUCAUUCUGACGAUAAUGCUAGCCAAACUUUUAAAUUAAAAACAACAAGUUACACCUAAACAAAUUAAAACAUUUAUCAUCCUAGUAUAGGCGAUAGAACAGACACAUAGCGCAAUAGACUAAGUACCGCAAGGGAAUACUGAAAAAGAAAUUAAACAACUCAUAAAAGUAAUAAAAAGCAGGAAUUAAGCCCCAUACCUUUUGCAUCAUGAUUUAACUAGUCCUAACCAGGCAAAAAGACUUUUAGCCCGCCCCCCCGAAACCAGACGAGCUAUUUUAAAGCAGCCUAUCACAGGGCCUACCCAUCUCUGUUGCAAAAGAGUGGGGAGACUUUAAAAUAGAGGUGACAUGCCAACCAAGCCUGGCGAUAGCUGGUUGCUCAAUAAACGAGUCUAAGCUCCGCUGCAACUCUUACUAACAUAACACCACAUUUAACUAAAACUUGACAGCCACUCAUAAGAGGUACAACUCUUAUGAGACAGGAUACAACCUAAAACAAUAGGUAAUGAUUAUACUACACAAGGAGUACUGCCCACAGUAGGCCUAAUAGCAGCCACCUAUUUUAACCGCGUCAUAGCUUAAGCACAAAUCCAUCCAACAAAUCAAAACCACCUAUCAGAUCCUAUAAUACCUAAUGAGCCACCCUAUAAACCUAUAGUCCAAUUAAUGUUAAAACUAGUAAUAAGAAAGCACGACUUCCUCUAUGCACCAGUGUAACUCAGACCGGACAAACCACUGACAAUUACCGACCUAUUGGCCAAACUAAUUCUCAACAAGAAAUUUGCCUCACACCACCGUUAACCCUACACAGGAGCGCAAUCAGAGAGACCAUAAGACAAAGAAGGAACUAGGCAAACCACUUAAAGCUUCGCCUGUUUACCAAAAACAUCGCCUCUAGCAACACACAUAUUAGAGGUACUGCCUGCCCAGUGAUAUUUAUUCAACGGCCACGGUACUUUGACCGUGCAAAGGUAGCAUAAUCACUUGUUUUUUAAAUAAAGACUUGUAUGAAAGGCAACACGAAAGCUUGACUGUCUCCUUUGUCUAAUCUACGAAACUGAUCUUCCUGUAAAAAAGCAGGAAUAAUACCGUAAGACGAGAAGACCCUAUGGAGCUUAAGACAAAACAUAAUCACUGCACCAUUAGCACGAAUUUAUCCACGUCUUCAGUUGGGGCGACUACGGAGUACACAAACCCUCCGCGAACCAUUUGCCAAUGUUACAAACUAACGCACCAAGACACUAAACAAUUGAUCCAAUAUUAUUGAUCAACGAACCAAGCUACCCUAGGGAUAACAGCGCAAUCUUCUUUUAGAGUCCAUAUCAACAAGAAGGUUUACGACCUCGAUGUUGGAUCAGGGUAUCCAGACAAUGUAGCCGUUGUCAUAGGUUUGUUUGUUCAACAAUUAAAACCCU